AUACUUACCUGGGAGGCAUGGCACCAUGGUCAAGAAGGUGGCUGUCCCAGGGCAAAGGCUACCGAUCACACUCUAGAUGUGCUGACCCCUGCGAUUUCUCCAAAUGUGAGGAAUCUCCACUGCAUAGUUUGUGGUAGUGGAGGACUGCGCUCACACUAUUCCCUG
rfam:Erinaceus europaeus unplaced genomic scaffold scaffold00004, whole genome shotgun sequence